GGCGGCGUAGCUCAGCUGGCUAGAGCGUACGGUUCAUACCCGUAAGGUCGGGGGUUCGAUCCCCUCUGCCGCCAC
rnacentral:tRNA from 2 species